CCUACGGGUGGCAGCAGUGGGGGAUAUUGCACAAUGGGGGGAACCCUGAUGCAGCGACGCCGCGUGGGUGAAGAAGCGCCUCGGCGCGUAAAGCCCUUUCAGCAGGGAAGAAAAUGACGGUACCUGAAGAAGAAGCCCCGGCUAACUACGUGCCAGCAGCCGCGGUAAUAGGUAGGGGGCAAGCGUUAUCCGGAUUUACGGGGUGUAAAGGGGGCGCAGACGGCGAUGCAAGCCAGGAGUGAAAGCCCGGGGCCCAACCCCGGGACUGCUCUUGGAACUGCGUGGCUGGAGUGCAGGAGGGGCAGGCGGAAUUCGUGGUGUAGCGGUGAAAUGCGUAGAUAUUAGGAGGAACACCAGUGGCGAAGGCGGCAUGCUGGGCUUUUACUGACGCUGAGGCUCGAAAGUGUGGGGAGCAAACAGGAUUAGAUACCCUUGUAGUC
rnacentral:rRNA from 1 species